CGGGACGGGUGAGUAAUGUCUGGGAACUGCCUGAUGGAGGGGGAUAACUACUGGAAACGGUAGCUAAUACCGCAUAACGUCGCAAGACCAAAGAGGGGGACCUUCGGGCCUCUUGCCAUCGGAUGUGCCCAGAUGGGAUUAGCUAGUAGGUGGGGUAACGGCUCACCUAGGCGACGAUCCCUAGCUGGUCUGAGAGGAUGCCAGCCACACUGGAACUGAGACACGGUCCAG
rnacentral:rRNA from 1 species